GGUUGGACCACGGUUCAUAUACAAAUUGACGGUUCGAUUGUAGUCAAAACCGAUUUUAAAUUCAAAACGGUCUUAUCUUCUAUAGCAUCCGUCUACAGUAUCAGUUCAUGGUGGAGAAGAUGACGAGCAGAGAUCCGGCAGAUAAAGAAGCGGCCGAAGUAUAAAAAGAGACGAGAAAAGCUGAUGCGGAACUCAACAAGGACGCCGCUAAGGCUCACAAUGAAAACGGCUCGGCGCCUGGCUGAGCCCGGCGGACCUCACCCUCGAUACAAAACAUGAGGCACUGAACCUACCAAAACCACCACUGCCACCGAAGACUAUGUCGAUGAUUACACCACCCCUACUGCUGAUCCCCGUUAUCACCCUGGACCCACCUCCGGCGGUGCUUAUCGUUGAAGUAGCUAGCUGGGGCUUAGUUAAAGUUUCAAGCUAGUAGUGUAUAUUUUCCCGCUGAAAUUUUUAUUUUUUUAACUGUUUGGUCUUGAAUUUGACUGUAAACGACACUGUUUUUUCUGUUUGAAUUGAAUAAACUGGGCAAUUUGGUCUUA